CUAGGAGCUGACCUAGGGUCU
rnacentral:siRNA from 1 species